GAUUGACCUCGGAUCAGGUAGGGAUACCCGCUGAACUUAAGCAUAUCAAUAAGCGGAGG
rnacentral:rRNA from 1 species